rnacentral:rRNA from 1 species
UGCAUUGCGGAGCUACAAUGCAGUCGAGCGGGACUUCGGUUCUUCGUUGGACGGGUGAGUAAUGUAUAGGGAGCUGCCCGACAGAGGGGGAUGCCUGUUGGAAACGACUGUUAAUACCGCAUAACGUCUACGGACCAAAGUAUGGGACCUUCGGGCCAUAUGCUGUCGGAUGCACCUAUCUGGUAUUACCUAGUUGGUGGGGUAACGGCUCACCACUGCGACGAUCCCUAACUGGUUUGAGAGGAUGAUCAGCCACACUGAAACUGAAACACGGUCCACACUCCUACGGGAGGCACCAGUGGGGAAUAUUGGACAAUGGGCGCAAGCCUGAUCCAUCCAUGCCGCGUGUGUGAAGAAGGCCUUCGGGUUGUAAAGCACUUUCAGCGAUGAGGAACGGGUGUGUGUUAAUAUCACAUAUUUUCGACGUUACUUGCAGAAGAAGCACCGGUUAACUCCGUCACCAGCAGCCGCGAUAAUACAGAGGGCGCAAGCGUUUAUCGGAUAUUAAUGGGCGUAAAGCGCACGUAGGCGGUGUGGUACGUUUGAUGGGAAAGCCCCGGUCUCAACCUGAGGAAUUGCAUUCAAAAGUGGCACGCUAGAGUAUGUGAGAGGUGGGUAGAAUUUCAAGUGUAUCGAUGAAAUGAGGAGAGAUUUGGAGGAAUCCCAGUGGCGAAUGCGGCCCCUUGGCACAAUACUGACGCUCAGGUGGUAAAGCGUGCGGAGCAAACAAGAUUAGAUACCCUGGUAAUCCACGCCGUAUACGAUGUCUCCUAGCUGUUCGUGGUCUUGUACUGUGAGUAGCGCAUCUAACGCACUAAUUACACCGCCUGGGGAGUACGGUCGCAAGAUUAAAACUCAGAUGAAUUGACGGGGGCCCGCACAAGGCUGUGGAUCAUGUGGUUUAAUUCGACGCAACGCAAAAAAUCCUUAUCCUACUCUUGACAUCUAGCGAACAUUGCAGAGAUGCGAAUUGUGCCUGUCGAGAACUUCUAAKACAGGUGCUGCAUGGCUGUCGUCAGCUCGUGUUGUGAAAUGUUGGGUUAAGUCCCGCAACGAGCGCAACCCUUAUCCUUAGUUGCCAGCACGUAAGGGUGGGAACUUUAGGGAGACUGCCGGUGAUAAACCGAAGGAAGGUGGGGACGACGUCAAGUCAUCAUGGCCCUUACGAGUAGGGCUACACACGUGCUACAAUGGUACGUACAGAGGGAGGCAAGCUGGCGACAGUGAGCGGAUCUAUUAAAGCGUAUUCUAGUCCGGAUCGCAGUCUGCAACUCGACUGCGUGAAGUCGGAAUCGCUAGUAAUCGCAAAUCAGAAUGUUGCGGUGAAUACGUUCCCGGGCCUUGUACACACCGCCCGUCACACCAUGGAGUGGGUCCAAAAGAAGUAGGUAGCUUAACCUUCGGGAGGGCGCUACCACGUGAUCUGUCG